rnacentral:lncRNA from 1 species
CAAAUGUCAUAUUGCUUAUCUUGGUCUAUGCAACACCCAGCAGCUGCUGGUGUUUAACGAGGAGGCUGCACAGGGCUCUGAGAAUUGUACUGUGUGUGCUUUGUUCAUGCAUUUUGCAGCUGAUUUAAGAGCAAGAAAGGAACAAAACCAACCCGAUGUCUUUACUCCAGAGAUCAUCCACAUCCUUCCUACGGCAGGAAGAGCAGGUGACUGGGACACUGGACAUUUGGCAAGCUGGUAGUUUUCCUGCAUUGGCAUGCUUUGCCGGGGUUUUCAUGAAAAGACAAUGACCUUUACAGAAAACAAUGACCUUUACAGAGAUCUCUAAACCUUGGCAACUCAGCAGCGAGCUCAGUUCUGAAAGCAUUCCUUUUGCCUUUCCCAACAGAGUUGAACAACUGGAAAGAAAGGAAGGAACUUAAAAAAAAAAAAUCACCGAAGUUUUUGGCAAACUUUAGGUGCUCUUUCCCCCACCCUGUAAUUAAGGCAUAAGUAAACAGUAAAAGAAUAUCAAAUUGCAGCUUGCUUCAGUAAUAGGUACCCAGGUGGAGCUGCUGCUUGUAUGGACCUGUGUCUUGAGACAGAAGGGCAGCCUCUCUGGGGAGGACUCCAAUGGGUCCCCAGAUCUGAUACAUCAAGAUUAAGACUUGAGGAUUCGGAGCUGAGUGAUAAGAAAGGGGAGAAUGUGGUACACAAGAGCAAGAAGAGACCUGAGUGCAUCUACUCACAACCUCUAUACCAGGGUCUUUUCUACUUACCCCCUCAUGACCUCUGGGACCUGUUUUGACUUGCUUCCCAUCCAAGGGGAGACAAAAAAGACUGAACAGAGUUGAAGGACAAAACCGAAAAGUACUUCCAGCAACUAUUCCUAGUUGUGAAGGUAAAUGAAAAAUUCUCUGUGGUAGUGAAUAAAUGCCCCCCACAAAGAUGUCCAUGUCUUCAUCCCUACAACUUGUGAAUGUGUUCCCUUAUCUGGCAAAAGAGACUUUGGAGAUACGAUUAAAUUAAGGACCUGGUGAGGAAGAGAUUAUCUGAAUAACCCCUACAUGUGCCAUAACGGCACUUAUGAGAGGGCAGCAAGAUGGUCAGAGGAGCAAGCAGGAGAUGUUGUGGACUGAAGCAGGAGGUUAAAGUGAGGUACAGAAGGAAUGCAGCUGGAAAAGGCAGACAAAUGGAUUCUCAUUCUCCAACCUCCAGAAGAAACUGACUCUAUCCACACUUUAACUCAGUGAAACUGAUUUCAGACUUCUAGCUUCUAAAACUCUAAGGGAAUAAAUUGGUAUUGUUAAGUC